rnacentral:lncRNA from 1 species
GGCCUGGAGGAAGUUCCUUGGUCGAGUGUCACAAAUAAGUUCAGACUCCUCUGCCGCUGCCAGAUGCUUGGCCAGACUGCUCGCUGAGGGGACUUGAUGUGGCACAUGUACCGCUCGGCGCAGGGCAGUGCCACCUGCUUAUCAGGCCCAGCUGCCGAUCAGACUCGAUUAAAAAAACCCAACAAACGCUUGGCCAACACCCAGUUCUUAGUACUUAGCCGGAGACCUUACUACUUGGUUAGUGCCUUAGCUUCCUGAGAAGGGGUUGACAUUUCACUUUGGAGCUAGACGUACAUUUCAGUGGAGGAGCAGGGACCUCAGACAAGGUAUUGAACCUCAUUCAGUCAGGGCUGCAGCCGGCGGCUGCACUCGGCCUGUGCCGCUGAGCUAGGAUGUAGGACGGUGUGGAAGCAGAUGUGACACUGUUUCAGAUUGGUUCUUUGAGGGAGGGGGGAG